rnacentral:rRNA from 1 species
AAAGUUACGCUAAUACCGCAUACGAUCUACGGAUGAAAGCAGGGGACCUUCGGGCCUUGUGCUAUACGAGCGGCCGAUGUCUGAUUAGCUAGUUGGUGAGGUAAAGGCUCACCAAGGCGACGAUCAGUAGCGGGUCUGAGAGGAUGAUCCGCCACACGUGGGACUGAGACACGGCCCAGACUCCGUACGGGAGGCAGCAGGUGGGGUAAUUUUGGAACAAUGGGCGAAAGCCUGAUCCAGCCAUGCCGCGUGUCUGAAGAAGGCCUUCGGGUUGUAAAGGACUUUUGUCAGGGAGCAAAACUUACUGGUUAAUACCCGGUGAGGCUGAGAGUACCUGAAGAAUAAGCACCGGCUAACUACGUGCCAGCAGCCGCGGUAAUACGUAGGGUGCAAGCGUUAAUCGGAAUUACUGGG